GAUUUGUUGAAAGAUUACUUUCUUGCUUUUUCUAGGGUAUAGUUUCCCUCCUGUGUUGCUGUUUUCCAUCUAUUAUCCUUUGUAGGACUGGAUUUGUAGAAAGGAAUUGUGUAAAUUUGUUUUUGUCAUGGAAUAUCUUGGCUUCUCCAUCUAUGGUAGUUGAGAGUUUUGCUGGGAACAGUAGUCAGGGCUGGCAUUUGUGUUCUCUUAUGUUCUGUAUGACAUCUGCCCAGGAUCUUCUAGUUUUCAUAGUCUCUGGUGAGAAGUCUGGUGUAAUUCUGAUAGGUCUGCCUUUAUAUGUUACUUGACCUUUUCCCCUUAUUGCUUUUAAUAUUCUUUCUUUGUUUAGUGUGUUUGAUGUCUUGGUUAUUAUGUGAUAGGAGGAUACCUAUUUUUAUAUCAAGAAACAACAUAAAGCCUUUUGUAUUAGGGUUCUCUAGAGUCACAGAAUUUAUGGGUAAUCUCUAUAUAGUAAAGGACUUUGUUGAUGAUUUACAGUCUGUAGUCCAACUCCCAACAAUGGUCAACAGCAGCUGUGAAUGGAAGUCCAAGGAUCUAGCAGUUGCUCAGUCCCACAAGGCAAGCAAGAGAAGGAGAGAGAGAGAGAGAGAGAGAGAGAGAGAGAGAGAGAGAGAGAGAGUAAAUCUUCCUUCUUCCAAUGACCUUUCCCCACAGGUCUCCAGUAGAAGGUGGCCCAGAUUAAAGAUGUGUUUCAACAUGCCUUUAAUCCCAGAUGACCUUCAACUCAGAGAUCUCCCUGUCUUAAUCUUCUGGAAUUCAUAGCCACUAUGCCUCAAGAUCUCCAUGCCAAGAUCCAGGUCAGAAACUUGUAUCUCCCAGCCUCCAGAUUAGGUUCACUGGUGAGUCUUCCAGUUCUGGAUUGCAGUUCAUUCCAGAUAUAGUCAAGUUGACAACCAGGAUUAGCCACUACACCAAGAGUGAGGCCAUCUUAGAGACAUUAUCAGUCUCCUGCAGUUGUGCCUCUGCCCUGGUAGCCUGGCCAGCCAUGCAUUUUCAGGCAAUGUCUGACCUGUAUUUAUCUUGUGGAGGCUCUGUCUCAGAACUCCACAAUCUCUCCACACAGCUUGCUUGGUUCCCAUUGGUGGGUCAUUACCAUGCCAACCCCAUGUUUCAAAUCCCCCAUGGCCUUUGUGAUGCACAUCUGGCAAACCAACCCUUUGCUACCAUACCUUUUUCUCUUGAACCUAGACGAGCCAUCACAUGAAGGAAAAUGCAACACAAACUUAGUUCAGAAACAAUGGUAACUGAAUCUCUGGGAGUAACAACUAAAACCUAAUCUUGUAAGUCUUGAUCUGCCAUGAUACUGGGAAACUCUAGCAGCUACAUCUUACCCUUAUGCUGUCCCCAUUCCAAAAGGACCUCACUCUCUCUUGCUUCCUCUCUUCCUCUACAUGUUCAUUCCCCUCCUCUACCUUUCAAAAAUAGCUUUGUAGUUAGUGUAUAAAAUAAUGGCUUUCAUUAUGACAUUUUGCACAGCUUUUUCUUUUAACAUUUUAUAAUUAAUACUUUGUUUAUGUUACAUACAACUAUGUAUAUUUGUGUUCAGGCUUACAUGAGUGUGGAAACCAGAAGUCAACUUUGCAUGUGCUUUCUCAGGUACUUUCUAUUAUUUAUUUAUUUAUAGAUAGGCAGGGUCUUUCGUUUGUGUGUAGCUACCGAGAAUAGACGGCUGCCCAGUGAACCAAUGGUUUUUAGCUGUCUCUUUUGAAUUCAGUGCCAGGAUUACCAGCACUGACUAUUACUAUUCAUGGUUUUGUUUUUGUUUUUUGCUCUUUGAUUAUUUUUUAAUGUAGAUUCUGGGGAUCAAAUUCAUUCAUUUUUGCUCAUAUACCAAGCAGUCUACUGACUAUGUUAUGUGCUGAACCCCACAUAAUGCUAGGUUGGCCUUGGAGACCACUGAGUGUAUCUGGGGGAUCUAUUGAGGUCAGUUAAGGGAAAUCUAUUUCUAUGUCCAAAGAAUGGAAUUUACCUAUGGCUCUGGGUGGAGACAAGACGUUCUGAUCUGCUUCAAAGACCAGAAGAUUAUAUACCAUCGUCUCCUUUUCUUAAAAGUUAAUCCAGUUGGACCUGUCAACCACCCAGCUAAGCCACAGCCUCUCAGAAAGGCUGGAUCACCAAAGCCAUGGUGAGGAGAUGGGAGGAAUAGUUCUCUCCCUUCCCAGAAAUCGUUCUUUAUAGACACACACAGAAUCCCCGUCAUGUAGCACUGUAGUCUGUCCACUUCUUUAGUAACUCAGAAAACAACUUUUUGUUUUCUGUAUUCUUUGGAGGUGUAUACUGGCCGAGACUGGGGGAUUCUUCCAUGGAUGCUCUGUGCUUUCUCACUUUUUCUCCUCAGCUCACACAGUAUGACUGCUUAUGAACAACAUAGUUUUUUGUUCUCUAUAUUUCUUCUUUGGCAGAUGCCAUGAUUUACAGCUUGCCUGCCCUAAUAUUUUUUUUCUCUUAAACCCUAACCAGUUGUCCUUGAGCUUUGUUCUGAGCCUGUUUCUAAAUUAUCUUCUUUAUAAAGAUUUAAAAUUUAUCCUGCCUGUACUUAACCAAUGCAGAUGUGGAUGUGUGGAGUCAACCAUCAGACUGAGCUCAGGGACCCCGGUGGGGGAGCUGACAGAAGGCCCAGAGAAUCAGAGGAAGAUUGCAACCCUAUAGAAACAACAACAUCAACAUUGGCUGGCCAGACCACCCAGUGCUCCCAGGGACUAGACCACCAGCCAAGGAGUGUACAGGGAGGGAUCCAUGGCUCCAGAUACAUAUGUAGCAGAGAAUGGCCUUGUCUGACAUCAAUGGGAGGGGAGACCUUUGGUCCUGUGGAAGUUUGAUGCCCCAGCAUAGGGGGAUGCUGGAACAGUGGGGUGGGUGGAGGAGCACCCUCAUAGAGG
rnacentral:lncRNA from 1 species